rnacentral:rRNA from 1 species
UAGGGAAUCUUCCGCAAUGGGCGAAAGCCUGACGGAGCAACGCCGCGUGAGUGAUGAAGGUCUUCGGAUCGUAAAACUCUGUCACUAGGGAAGAACAAAUGUGUAAGUAACUAUGCACGUCUUGACGGUACCUAAUCAGAAAGCCACGGCUAACUACGUGCCAGCAGCCGCGGUAAUACGUAGGUGGCAAGCGUUAUCCGGAAUUAUUGGGCGUAAAGCGCGCGUAGGCGGUUUUAUAAGUCUGGUGUGAAAGCCCACGGCUCAACCGUGGAGGGGCAUUGGAAACUGGAAAGCUUGAGGGCAGAAGGGGAAAGUGGAAUUCCAUGUGUAGCGGUGAAAUGCGCAGAGAUAUGGAGGAACACCAGUGGCGAAGGCGACUUUCUGGUCUGUAACUGACGCUGAUGUGCGAAAGCGUGGGGAUCAAACAGG